rnacentral:lncRNA from 1 species
AGACAGGACCAGCAGUUUCAGAAUGGCGCGAUGUUUUUUUUUUUUUUCUCAAUCGGAGUCUUUACCCAGUUAAUUAACCUUCGUUAGUGGUCUAGGAAGGAAUGCUACGUUCAAAGUCAUGGUUGAUCGUUUAAACAUUAAGGAGAAUAAAUUAAAAAAAAAAAACUUUUUUAAUUGUCCCCAUCCCAUUCUGUCUAAGCUACUUCUAUUGAGGAACACGUCCCCACACACUGGUUGUUUGCUUGCGUUGGACUGGGUUUUGUUUUAAUCAUCUUGCAAACACUCCCCUGGAACAAUUCUUCAACUUUCCAGUCACUUCUGUCUUCAUAUCCUCACAUCAGCUCGGUAAGGUAUGGUGUCGCUAAAUCCAACUUUGGUUUAUCA